UACGGGGGGAGCAAGCGUUGUUCGGAUUUACUGGGCGUAAAGGGCGCGUAGGCGGCGCAACAAGUCACUUGUGAAAUCUCCGGGCUUAACCCGGAGCGGUCAAGUGAUACUGUCGUGCUAGAGUGCGGAAGGGGCUACUGGAAUUCUCGGUGUAGCGGUGAAAUGCGUAGAUAUCUGGAGGAACACCGAUGGCGAAGGCAGCCAUCUGGACCGACACUGACGCUGAGGCGGCGAAAAGC
rnacentral:rRNA from 1 species